rnacentral:rRNA from 1 species
GGAUGAGCCCGCGGCCUAUCAGCUUGUUGGUGGGGUAAUGGCCUACCAAGGCGACGACGGGUAGCCGGCCUGAGAGGGCGACCGGCCACACUGGGACUGAGACACGGCCCAGACUCCUACGGGAGGCAGCAGUGGGGAAUAUUGCACAAUGGGCGAAAGCCUGAUGCAGCGACGCCGCGUGAGGGAUGACGGCCUUCGGGUUGUAAACCUCUUUCAGCAGGGACGAAGCGCAAGUGACGGUACCUGCAGAAGAAGCACCGGCCAACUACGUGCCAGCAGCCGCG